AGCCUGCCCACCUGAGGCACUGAGGGCCGUGUGCAGUCUGCUGAGGGAAGAAACCACCACAAGGCAAAGGAUGGUGAAAUUUGCUCCUGCCUUCACCUGACAUCCUUUUCUGUCCUUGGACAAGGAACCCCCAUUCUCAGGCCUUGGAGUGAAUUAUAACACAGGCUUUUUUGGCCUCAGGACUUGAUCUUCACUGCCAUGCUGCUGCGCUGACAGUGAAGGAAACGCUCAGGGUCUCCUAAGUAGCGAGGGGAAAGCCAACACAGCAGUCCUGCCUCUCUCAGCGCAGGGUCUCUGCCUGUCCCACCACCUGUGCCCAGCUGUCCCUGCUGCCAAACCUUCUGGCUGUGCUCAUCUUCCCUGCUGGAGUGUUAGAAGGAAGCCGCCUUAAAAUCUUUCCUCUUGAAAUCCUAUUCGUGACAUUGAGCUGAUGAUCCUCUGGCUUUGGUUAAUACGGUGUAUCCCAAUGAUUAUGCGGAAGCGUCCCUGCAUCCUGGGAAUAAAUUUCACUGGAACGUGGACCAGGCUGGGACACUACAUGAGGCUUUCAUGAGCCAACCUAAUUCAGCCUCACUUGAAUUCAAGGCAGGAAAGCGGACUCAUGAGCAGAGAUCAGAACCAAAACUUUACACAUCCUAGCCUCCUGAGUACUGGGAUUAAAGAUGUGAGCCAUCAUACCUGGAAACUCCUUGCAUUUGAAAAAGUACUCAUGAACAUGGGAAACGUGAGAUCCAAAGCUGCCUGUAAUACCGUGACCUGUAGACGACUGCCAAAGAGGGUUUCCGCAUGACUAAGCGCUUUCCCAGACCGCAUGCUUCUUUGCUCGCCCCCAAGACUUUGGAUCGAGACCUCUGUGUUCCCAGGAAGGCAAGUGAGGUCAUGAGGCGGCCUCUCCAAUUGGGAACAGUUGAUGAAAAAAUUAGAGUGUACUAAGGCCACCCUUCCUGCUGUACUUCAUUGCAAAAUCAGCCCCAAGAAAGGGCUUUGAAUCUGCUUUGAAGACAUCAGGGCAAAAAUCUCUCCACGGGAACCUCUUGUCAUUUAGUGGGUUUCCUUAGUUCUGUUCUGCACCCUGCAGUGACCCCGACAGGCUCCCAGGGAGUGGUCUUUCUCCGUAAAGCUGUUUGCUUGCUCACCAAUUAAGUCACAAGCACUAAAUGGAAAUGAAGAGGACAUCACUUAAAAUGUGCCUUAGAAUGAAAUGGGAUAUGAAAAGGCUCAAAUUCAUUUUAGAGACAGCCUUUUCCAUCAGAAAUCGAUACAGCCCUUCCAUUCUACAAUGUGCUCGUUCAUAAAGCAAAAACUGCGCGAACUCUCAAUCUAACAUUUUCAAAGCUGAUAUUAAAUUCCAAGAUUUUAUAUCUGCUGUUGCCCAUUUAGGACUAAGUUAUAAAUCUGAAAUCUCUCCCCAGCUCAUGAGUUUGACAGUGCUCGAUAAAAACUUUUAUAAUCAAGUUCAAUAAAGAAUCACAAAUCUCCAUCUUGUGAUUUUUACCUUACAACAACCUUUGUAAAUAACAUCUUCCAGCCUUGAUGUUUGUCAAUAUUUGUCAUUUUUAAAAAACGAUAAAAUAGAAAUAGAUUCUUAUCUCGUGGACAUGUUAGUAAAGGAAGGACUCAAUGAAUGUCUUCACAGUGACAUUUAUAAAGAAUGACCAUGAAAAGCCAGAAGAUGGUAUCUUUGGUGACAUACUGGUCUGCUAAUGAUGGCAUUCAUAGGGAAACAGUAAACGUGGAAUCAUCUGGAAGUCUUAAAAAAGACUGGUUCUGCCUCACUGGCAUUUUUUUCAGACCUAAAGUGGACAAUCAGGCACUCACCCUCUCUAAACUCCCUUAGGGUAGAAAUAAAAAAGGGCUGAUUUCUCCCCCAAGCUUGUUUUACAUGAAUGCUUUUCUUCAGGAUCAGAAACCUUUUUAAAAAUUAAUAAAAGAUAUUUUUUAUAU